UUAUAUCAUUAAAUUUAAAAGAUUUGGCGGUAUUUUAUAUAAUUAGAGGAACCUGUGUAUGAAUUGAUGAUCCACGAUAAGAUUUACUUAAUUAUUUAUGUAUUGCUGUUUAAAAAUUAUUAUUAAUUAAAUUUUUUAAAAGUUAUUAUAAUUUAAUUCAAGUCAAAAUAUAGUAUAAUUAAGAUAUGGGUUACAUUUUAAUUUUGAGAUUGGAUUUAAUAGUAA
rnacentral:rRNA from 1 species